rnacentral:rRNA from 1 species
UACGUAGGCAGCGAGCGUUGUUCGGAGUUACUGGGCGUAAAGGGUGCGUAGGCGGCGCGGUAAGUCGGGUGUGAAAUCUCGGAGCUUAACUCCGAAACUGCAUUCGAUACUGCCGUGCUUGAGGACUGGAGAGGAGACUGGAAUUUACGGUGUAGCAGUGAAAUGCGUAGAGAUCGUAAGGAAGACCAGUGGCGAAGGCGGGUCUCUGGACAGUUCCUGACACUGAGGCACGAAGGCCAGGGGAGCAAACGGG